GGAGGCCAUGUGCCAGCGUCGAGGAGCACAUCCGCGAUGAUUUUGGGCUGGCAAUGUCAUUCUAGUGGCUGGCAGCGGCGGAGCCCAGGCGGGCCGCUGCAAAGAGGAACUCCACUGGAAGAAAUCGAGGUGUCAUGGGCGGGUAACGCCGUUCCCGUGCCUGGCACCACCAGAGACGGGGCAGCCCGCUGCGAAGAGUAGCUCCACCAGGUUGUCUCACGACGAAGGCCAUGCACUGGCUCGACGAGGUGUGAUGCGCGGGCGUGCCAUCCCCGUGCCAGGCGCAGGCGAAGCUGAGGCGGGCUGCUGCGGAGAGAGCUCCACCAGGGUGUUGAGCGACGGAGGCGAGCUGGCAUGGUGGAGACGGGGGCUCUCCACCGAUGCUUCCACCUCGCUACCGUUGUCGUCUUGCUUCCUGGAUCUCCUGCAAGCUCACCAUUAUAGCCCAAGAAGCAACGGUGGUGCCGGAGUUGAGUCCAGUCAGUAACACUAGCGCUAGUUCCUUCCAUGAUCCUGUAGGCCGAGAGCUGGGUCUCUGGUGAAGCUGGAAUUGAAGAAGCUUUCACCUGAAUUAGCCUAAAUGUGUCUGUUCGUCAUGUUUGUUCUAAACCAACCUCUGUUAUAGUCCAGGUAGAUACAAUCUUUGUUCAGUUGUAGCCAAAGAAGAAGAGAUGGUUAGUAAUUAAGAGUAGUAAUCAGUACUUUGUAGAACUUUGUAGUCCAUGUAGAUACAAUCUUUAUUCAGUUGUAGCCAAAGAAGAAGAGAUCUUUGUUCAGUUGUAGUCGAAGAAGAAGAGGUAAAACCCUA